rnacentral:lncRNA from 1 species
UGAUUAAUUUUUAAAAGAAAAAAAAGAGCAGCUAAGAUCCUGGAUAGCUAUAUCAUCAUUGCAUCUUUGAGACCACAGUUUCUAGUCUCUAGAUAUUACCAGUAGAGUUAAUUAGCCCAAACUGUGGUUGUUAGUUGCUUUAGCUGUCUUCAACUUGAAUUUUUUUUUAUUUUAGAAAUAAAGUUUUAAAGCUAAUUAGGAUACACCUGAGACUCAUGGCUAAACCCAAUACAGUUUUUUCCCCAAGGGAUUAUUUUCUUAUAUACCAAAACUUAUAAAGAAAAAAAAUGAUUAAAAGAAAAACAUAAUCUCUUGAUAUAGAAAGUGGUGUAACCAUUUCAACUCAGAAGACCAGAAGGCCAAAGAAGCUCCGGAGAAAUGUGAGUGCUGUGUGCUUCUGCCCAGGCAAAGGGAGUGCUCCCAGACGUGUCCUGUGCCACCUGCCCUCUCCUGCUCCUCACCGGCUGGGACACAGGAGGCGUGUUGCUGGGUGACAAUCCAAUCCAGGAAUGGCCUGUUUGUUUGUACAGCUCUGUGGAAGAUUCAACUGUUGUAAAGAAUGGAAAGACACAAAGCUGCUUGGAUCUCACAGCAAACAAAACCAGGAGAAGAAAAUUAGAGGUGGCCUCCACGCCAUUACGCCUUGGAAAGGAAGAAAGAAAAUCCGAGGCACCUCGGGCCGGGACACGCUGGACUCUCGCAGAGCUUUGCCUUGUGUGAGCAGAGUCGGCUUGUACAGAUUCUCUGAGUCCUCUGACAACAAGAAAAUCAUCCAUGGUCCCAGAGACAGGCUGCUGGAAAUCCUGCACAUUUAUCUUCUAGAAGGAAGUGAACUAAUUACAAGAAUGAUCCCUUCAGAGAUCUCUCUUGAAAGAUUUUAAAGGGCUCCAAAUUAAGCCAUAUUCACUUCUAGGACCCUGAAGUGGUUCAGGAAAGCGAGGGGCAUUUGGUUAAUGUUAGGUGGUUUCAAAAAGGAAAGAGCAACGAUGAGAGACACAGUGGAUAAACUGUGGGAACCUGCCCAUGAGGGAACACCUCUUUCAUUUCAAGAGUCUUCUAUUUCAUUUUGUAACUUUCAAUUUGGAAAAGAAGUAUAAGCGUGUUUUUGUUUAAAAAGAUGUUUUUCUUUUUAAUAUUCAGUAUUUCCUAGCUAAAUAUAGAUUCGUCACUCAUUUGUACUGUCAGUCACAACCUAAUUUACAAACUUGACACCAAAAGUCAGGUCGACUAAAUUGCCCAAGGCCGUGUAUUUUCUUUUCUUUCUUUUCUUUUUUUCUUUUUUGGUACCAGGGAUCAAACUUGGGACCUUGUGCUAGUGAGGCAGGCGGCAGAACCACUGAGGUAAAUCCCCAGUCCUUGGCCAUGCAUUUUCAAGUUAAAGCAUGCAUCAAAAGUUUUCCGUCCUUGGCCCAGUGUGCUGGGAACUGCUGCUUUCCUGUAAGAAUUUGUUCAUAUCUUGGAUUUAAACCUUUUGCUUAUCAGUUGAGAAUGUUUAGCCUACUUCUACUCAAGUUAUAUAAAAUUAUGGCAAUAAUCUAAAAAAAAUUGG